rnacentral:rRNA from 1 species
AGAGUUUGAUCAUGGCUCAGGAUGAACGCUAGCGGGAGGCUUAAUACAUGCAAGUCGAGCGAGAAGGUGGCUUCGGUCACUGGGGAGCGGCGCACGGGUGAGUAACGCGUACAUGACCUACCUUUAAGACUGGGAUAGCCCUGGGAAACUGGGAUUAAUACCGGAUGUGGUAAUAGUUAUAGAAGAUUAUUAUUAAAGCUGAGGUGCUUAGAGAUGGGUGUGCGUCUGAUUAGCUAGUUGGUAGGGUAAGGGCCUACCAAGGCGACGAUCAGUAGGGGGCGUGAGAGCGUGAUCCCCCACACGGGUACUGAGAUACGGGCCCCACUCCUACGGGAGGCAGCAGUUAGGAAUUUUCGACAAUGGGGGAACCCUGAUCGAGCGACACUGCGUGAGGGAUGAAGGCCUUAGGGUUGUAAACUUCUAAUAGAGGGACGAUGGUGACGGUACCUCUUGAUUAGCACCAGCUAACUCCGUGCCAGCAGCCGCGGUAAUACGGAGGGUGCGAGCGUUAUCCGGAAUCACUGGGCGUAAAGGGCGCGUAGGCGGUUUGUUAAG